rnacentral:sRNA from 1 species
UGUGUGCCAAACUAAAUCAUUGGAAAUAUUCAAAAUCAAGUAAUGUAUGCAGCAAUGAAUUCGCUUGGAGCAAUUCAGCAAAUGGAGAAGCUCCGAAAACUGGUCGACUUGGAGUUGUGCCAUGAAGACGCAACUAGAACUGGAAGUUGUAUGGUCAUGCAUAGAGCCUGUAAGUAACGUAACUGCAGUUGAUGCUGAAAAGGACCGAAAAGCUAAAUGCAAAAUCAUUUCGGCAAUUGACAAGCGUCUGUAUGUAAGACAGCGGCUGAAGUUUGGAAGGCCCUUAAGAAUCUUUUUCAAGACGCUUGAUUGGACAGAAGAAUUGGUUUGUUACAAAAAUUGUGUUCUGUACAAUUAGUGAAAUGUUCUUCAGUAAAAGACUAUGUAAAUCAGAUUAUCACAAAAAAUGUACGAUAUUGAAUUCUCUGUUAAUGACGAAUGGAUUGGAAGAUUGUUACUGAAAGGACUCCCUGUUGAAUACCAGCCAAUGAUUAUGACUAUUGAAAGCACAGGUGAACCAUUAACAGCGGUACACUAUCCGCUGUUAAUGGUUUACCUGUUUUAGAAGAAGCUUUUACAGGACAUUAAAUUUGCUGCAUUAUUUUCGAAGAAAGGAAAAUUCACUGGAGGCAAGUAUGUGAAGAAAAAUGGUCCAAAACAAGACAAGAAAGGAAAGUCGCGAUGCUUCAAUUGUGAUGGUAUUGGCCAUAUUGCAUCCGAUUGCCCGUCAAAGUCGAAGAAAGAAGUCCACAAGUAAAGAUAGUACAAUGUUCCCAGCUUUCAGAGUGGAAUCAUCAACCGAGGAAUGGAAUAUUGACUGCGGUGCUACCAAUCACAUGAUAGCACGACGAGAACAUUUGAACAACUUUUGUGAGUACUCUAGUGAAAUGAAAGCCACAAAUAAUACAACAAUGCAAGCUGUUGGAAAGGGUGACAUAAAGAUGAAUCUAUCAACGCCAAGAGGUAAUGAAUAAAGAUGUCCUCUAUGUUCCAGAUUUGGAAGUGAAUCUUUUGUCUACAAAGAAGAUUGUAUUGCAGAUCAUCAAAAUAGUGUAGUAUUCGAUAGAUCUGGAUGAUGUAUUAUAAAUUCUUCCAAAAAGGUUAUUGGAAUGGCAAAGCAAGUAAACGCGUAUAUGGCAACUGAAAUGUCAACGGAACUUUGGCAUCGAAGAUUUGCACACCUAGGAUCUGAAAAUCUGAAACUUCUAGCCAACGGUUAUGUGAAAGGUGUACAUUUGAGCAAAGAUUCUGUAGAAUCGCGUAUAUUAUGCGCAGAAGGUAAACAACAUCGUCUCAGUUCACCGUCAGAAGGCUCCAGAGCGUCAAAGUUUUUAGAUCUUAUUCACUCUGAAGUGAAUAUGGAAGUGAAGUCCAUGUGUGGGAGUCUUUAUUUUGUGAUGAUUUUACCCAGAAGGUAAGGGUAUAUUACACGAAAAACAAAGACGAAGUUGUGGAUCGUUUUUUUUUUUUGAAUAUAAAACUGAGGUUGAAAAUCAAACAGGGAAGUCAAUCAAAAUUUUAAGAGCUGACAACGAAAAGGAGUACAUGAAUAAGAAACUGGCUGCUGAGUUAACAAAAAGUGGAACAAUUCAUCAGACUACGAUUCCAUAUACCCCUGAGCAGAUGAACCGAAUUUUGAUGGAAAAUGCACGUGCAAUGUUGUGUGAAGCAGGUAUGCCGAAAUCUUUCUGGGCGGAAGCAGAGAAUUGUGCAACCCAUAUCAUAAACCGAUCACCACGCAAAAUAUUGCAAAAGACUCUGAAAGAAAUGUGGUCUGGACACAAGCCUAUCGUCAGUUAUUUCAAAAUAUUGGGAUAAACAGCCAUGUGUUAUAUCCCUAAACAAAACCUCGUAAAUUGAUGCAAAAUCGGAAAAGUAUGUAUUUGUCGGAGUGUGUAAUUUUAUUAUAAAAUUAAAGAUAACAAAAUCCAAAGAAAUGGUGAAUUUCCCCUAUAUACGAUUCAAGUGGGGGUACAACCUGUUGACAUCCCUGAUAAUCAAAGCGAUUGUGGUUCAAGCUCAUCAAUCCUAGAAAAUGCGCAUGAAGUGGGGGAAUCUGAAAAAGUUCAAAGCGAACAUAAUGAUGAUGUUCAUGUAGCAAUAGAUUAUGUAGAUAAUCAAGACGUUUCAUCGGAUCCACGCAGAAGUGAGAGACUCGCAGCGAAACACAAAGCUCUAACCGUCAAGAAUGUAGCACAGAUGAGCCAAAAAGCCUUGAAGAUGCCAUGAACAGUUCUGAGAAGCUGAAAUGGAUUGACGCGAUGAAAAACGAGAUAAAAUCUCUUGAAGAGAAUAAUACAUGGAUAUUAGUAGAAAAGCCGCCUAGAGUGAAUGUCAUCAAGACCAAAUGGGUUACCAAAGACAAAAAGGAGCCAGGUAACAAUAUUCGAUAUAAGGCCAGAUUAGUAGCAAAGGACUACACACAGAAAAGAGGAAUUUACUAGAUAUUCGCCAGUAGUAAGGUACACUUCAAUAAGUUUUCUUAUUGCUUUAGCAGCGGAAUAUGACCUGCAAAUUGAACAAAUGGAUGCAGUCACAGCUUUUCUACAAGGUGAGCUGGAAGUGGUUAUCUAUGUUGAAAAAUCUGAACGUAUUCCAAUUAAGAGUGAUGAUGAUCAUGUUUUAAAGCUGAAUAAAGCAGUAUAUGAGCUUAAGCAGUCGAGCUUAGUGUGAAAUACGAAAUUAGAUAAAGUUCUUAUCAAAAUAGGUCUGAUUGGAUCUAAAGUAGAUCCUUGUAUUUACAUGCACAGAGAUGGAUCAAAUAUGAAGUUUUUGGCCAUGUGUGUCGACGAUAUAUUACUAUUCAGCAAUAAGACAUCAUAACGGAAAAAAAUAAAAGCCCAAUUAAUGAUGAAUUUCAAAUUGAAGUUUUUGGUAGAAGCAAAGCAAUGCCUAGGCAAUUGAGUUACACGAAAAAAUUACAAAAUUUAUUUGGACCAGGGAGAAUACAUAGACGAAUUGUUGAAGGAAUGUGGACAACUGCAAUCCUGUGUCAACGCCAAUGGAUGUGAAUGUCAAACUCGCAAAGGAUAUGUCUCCCAAAACAGCUGCAAAAAUUCCGCAUUAACAUGCAAUUGGAAGUCUACUGUUUGCUUUGCAGUGUACUAGACCAGACAUAUGUCAAACCGUAAAUAAGUUCAGUACUUUUAACGAUUAUCCUGGAAAUGCACACUGGAAUGCAGUAAAUCGAAUUUUCAGAUACCUGCAGGGAACAAAGGACGCCAAAUUAACAUUCUCUCAAAGUGGUAAUGAAGAUAUAAUUGCAUAUUCUGAUUCCGACUGGGCUAGCGAUUCCGAUGAAAGGCGUUCAGUUACGGGAUGUAUAAAUAUUCUUCAAGGAGGUCCUGUAUCUUGGGCUUCCAAAAAUCAACCAACAAUAGCAUUAUCGUCUACAGAAGCCGAAUACAUGACACUUUGUGCCACUGUUCAGGAGUUUGUAUGGCUAACAAAUCAUGAAGCAGAACUCAACCCAAAACUGAAUGAGAAAGCCCACAACAAUCUAUUGCGACAAUCAAAGUACCAUGCAUUUGGCAUCAACCAGCAAAUAUUUGACAAGAUCGAAAUAUAUUGAGGUUCGCCAUCAUUUUAUACAUGAAAGGAGAGAGUAAAAUAUUAUUCAAUUUGUUGGAGUAAAAACUCAACUCAUGGUUGCAGACAAUUUAACCAAAGCCGUUCCUACUGAUAAACAUAACUUUUGUUCAACUCAAAGGGGGCUACAUUUUAAUUAAAUUUUAUUCGAGUGGUGGUGUUGAAAUUAACUCUUUGUAAAAUAUACUUGUACGAACAAAAACAUGUAGGCUAUGAGAAUUGAAUUUGUAUUUUUAUUUUUAGUCUUCAUAAACUCUGUCCAUAAAUAGUAAAUAUCUUGUGCUUGCCAAUCAUUCAACUGAA